rnacentral:rRNA from 1 species
ACGGAAUAGAUACCCCGGUAGUCCACGCCCUAAACGAUGUCAACUGGUUGUUGGGAAUUCAUUUUCUCAGUAAACGAAAGCUAAACGCGUGAAAGUUGACCGCCUGGGGAGUACGGCCGCAAGGCUAAAACUCAAAGGAAUUGACGGGGACCCGCACAAGCGGUGGAUGAUGUGGUUUAAUUCGAUGCAACGCGAAAAACCUUACCCACCUUUGACAUGUACGGAACUUGCCAGAGAUGGCUUGGUGCCCGAAAGGGAGCCGUAACACAGGUGCUGCAUGGCUGUCGUCAGCUCGUGUCGUGAGAUGUUGGGUUAAGUCCCGCAACGAGCGCAACCCUUGCCAUUAGUUGCUACGAAAGGGCACUCUAAUGGGACUGCCGGUGACAAACCGGAGGAAGGUGGGGAUGACGUCAAGUCCUCAUGGCCCUUAUAGGUGGGGCUACACACGUCAUACAAUGGCUGGUACAGAGGGUUGCCAACCCGCGAGGGGGAGCUAAUCCCACAAAGCCAGUCGUAGUCCGGAUCGCAGUCUGCAACUCGACUGCGUGAAGUC